AAAGUUUGGUAGUUGUAGUCACAGAUGUACUUAAAAUUGCCCAGGGGACGCAACACAACGCCUGGAAACUCAGUAUCCAUGGCAACGUAGGGGUAGUCAUCAACUAUUUCACGAAUCAAAGCGAAUUCUUCUUCAAGGUUAUCGUUCCAGACCUCACGGAUUUGGAUUGAAUCGCUCUUUGGCAACAAAGACAUCACUUGAAAAACCAACAAAAAAAACUAAUUUCUAUUUCAACCAAUAACAACCCAAGAAGACAAAGAUUCCUAAAUUACCACGAAACCCCCAAACAGGGAAUCAAUUUGCAAAACACCCAGAUUGAAUUUCACCAGAUCUGCAAGAAAUUACAAUAAAUUUAAGGCUAUAGAUCCUACAAACCAAAUAAAAGCCAGCUUCACCCAGAAAUGAAUUUCGAAUAAUUAAACGAUAAAUUAAAUAGAUGAUUAUAUAGAUGGAGAAAUGAAGAAGGAACUGACCUUUUGAAGUGAAAAGGGGAAGGAUUUUUCAGAGAAACAGAUUAAAUAAGGCAGAUUCUAGACAGAAAGAUCUAGAAAAUUUCUGAAAGGUCCUUCCUUUCUCUCUGUAAGGUUUCGGGGUUUGGAGUAUUAUCGGAGGCCCUAGACUGGGGUUUGAUUUUUCCUUUUUUCUUUAAGAACUGGUCGUUGACUUGCUGUGGUUAUCGUUUUAAGGUUUUUUUUUUUGUUUAUCUGUACUGUUUGUUUCCUGGGAAAAGGAGAGGCUUCACGUUUCUGUUAUUUUAUAUAUAUAGUGGAGUGAGAAGGGGAAUGGUCUGGAGCCUAUAGCCUUUCCCUUUGCUCACCUCCUUAUGAACAGAAAGGAGAGAAAUCUAAAACAAAUGCAGAUUUUUCAGGUAAAUUGCAGAUUCCAUUUUCCAGACAUUUAGGACACCUAGUUAUUCUAUUUUUCUGAAAACAAAUUUAUUACUAAAUACUUUUUUUUAAAAGGUUCAUUUGUUUUUAUUACCUAGUAUGUUUUUUUUUAAAUAUAUAUAUAUAAUAGGUGUUCAUGAGUCGAGUUUAGUUGAUUUUUCGUUUUUAAAAUUUAGACUUGAAAGUUUAUCAGAUUUGCAUAUCAAUUAUUGUUGUAAAAUAAUAAAACUAUAGGCUAACAUUUUAAUAUCUUUAAAUUAAUUUAAAAUAGAAUUAAACAAAAAUAUAAUAUUUAUUAUAAAAAUUUAAUUCAUUUAGUUUGACUUUGAAUUUAAAAAAUUAUAUUCCAAUUCGACUCAAAAUGUGUCAAAUUUGCAAAUUAUAAUGAAUAACUCGAUCAAUUAAUUACCUCACGAAAAGAGCUUAAAAUUUUAUAUUAAAAGUAAUCACUUAUGUUAUCCUCAAGUUUUACUUAUAUGUGCAACAUAAAUUAUUUAUAUAAUUACAUCCAUUAAAAACACAAAUCAAAUAAAUUAACAAAGAUAAAAAGUUCAAAAAAAUUUUAAAAUAUUUUAAAAAAUUCAAAUAAACUCUUUUUUUAUUACAUUUAAUCAAAUACUUUUCAUUUUAUUUUAAUUUAAUUAAUCUUUAGUCGUAAAGACAUAUUUGAUUCCAAAUAAAAGUAUAAGAAAUUAGUUAACUCGAAAUAAAAAUAUAAAAACUUAUUUAAUUCAAAAUAAAAAUAUAGAGUUUUAUUAAACGUAAUAAGAGAAUAUGAGUUUAUUUGAAUUUUUCUGAAUAGUUUAAGGAUUUUUUUUGGAUAUUAUACUUAAAAAUAUAAAAUAACAUAAAUUCCACAACAAUAAAAUGUACAUUCAUAAUUAAAAACAUCAUAAAUUCCCCAAGAAAAAAAAAAUUACAUAUCCAUACUCAUACCAACAUCAAUUCCAAAAGAACAAAAAUAAUUGUACACAUCCAUAACAUAUUCAUACAAGUUAGAAGUUGCACAAUCAUAAAUUCCACAACAUGGAUCCGUGUUUCGAUGAUUUCGAAUCCAUCAAUUGUUAAAAAUCUCAUAUCAACAUCUCCCUAAGAUGUUGAAAGAGAAAAAUUAUAAUUAGUAGAAAUUAAUGUAUUAUGAUAAUCUAUAUAUAUAAAUGAAAAUAUGGAUGAUAUUUAGUAAUAACAUUACACGAAGAUAGGAACAAUAACCUUUUUUUUUUCCUACUCAAGUAUAAGGUCCAAGUGCUUGCACAAGCUUGAGAGUCUAAAAAUUUUUAUGCACAUCACGCAGACAUCUACUAGUAUUAAAAUCGAAUUCCGAAACAAUUAUUGAUACGAAACUGUUAAUACAUCAAAAGUAAUAUUAGGAAGUAUAAGAAACCUAUAACUAUUGAUUUUCCGCCGUAUGAGAAUAUCAAAGUUAUCAUGGUCAACAGUCAAGUGCUUGCACAAGCUUAAGAGUCUAAGAAUUUUUAUACACAUCAAGCAGACAUCUACUAGUAUUAAAACCGAAUUUCGAAACAAUUAUUGAUACGAAACUGUCAAUACAUCAAAAGUAAUAUUAUGAAGUAUAAGAAACCUAUAAUUAUUGACUUUUCGCUGUAUGUGAACAUCAAAGUUAUCAUGGUCAACAGCUAAGUGCUUGCACGAGCUUAAGAGUCUAAGAAUUUUUAUACACAUCAAGCAGACAUCUACUAGUAUUAAAACCGAAUUUCGAAACAAUUAUUGAUACGAAACUGUCAAUACAUCAAAAGUAAUAUUGGGAAGUAUAAGAAACCUAUAACUAUUGAUUUUUCGCCGUAUGAGAACAUCAAAGUUAUCAUGAUCAACAGCCUCAUCCUUAGAUAAAUAUUUAUCCAUUGACCCUUUCCAUCUUAUACCUUUUAUACACUAAAAAAAAAGAAACCUUUCCUAUUGGGCUAUGAUUCCCACUUUCACAAGUGGCUUAUCUCAUUUGACUUUCUCCACUGCUUUCACCAACAAGCGGAAAUUGAGGUUGUAACAUUUUUUUUUUAUAUAAACAAUUGAUUGUUACAUUCUUUAAAAGCAAAACUCAACGAAACUAAAUUUUUUGCUUAAAAUCAAGAAAGAAGCAAUAUAUAAUACUAAAUUCAUUUUUUUCAUAAAUCUCUCAAUACUUGUAAAAUUUUCUUCCAAUCUAUUUGUCGUAUCUCAUAAAUCAACAUCAAAAUUUUCUUGCCUUUCUUUCAAAAUGCAAUACACCUCAUAAAUACAAUCAAGAAAAGUAUUACAAGUUACGUAAAAAGAACUUGAAAUCUUUGCAGUCAAAUCAUAAAAUUGUUCCAGAAAAAGAAAAAUUCUCUUAACAUUUGUUACAUAAUUGUUCUAUACUUGUUUUUAUUUGCCAAACAAUACUUAGAAAAAUAAUAAAAUGUUAACCAAAAUCAAGUAUCUAUAGUUAGUAGUCCCUUUAAUGAUAUUUUAUAUUUGUCACAAAUUUAUUUUUAUCUAUUAUUUAUAUAAAUAAAUACUAUCUUGAUAAUAAAUACUAUCUUUAUAACAAAUUUGAAGCUAGUUUUGGUUAGCAAGGAGAUAGAGCUUAUCUCAAUAAAUUCUUUUGAGGUUUUUCUUUUUUUAUUUUUUCUUAAAUGUUGUGAAAAAUUCUAACAUAAUGCUUAGAGGAGUCUCUUAAUUAUUUAAGAAAAUUUAAAUAAUUUCUUUUUUGCAUUUAAUCAGUCCAUUAUACUUUUAAUUUAAAUAAAAUAAAUCUUAACAGUUGAUUAAUUGUAAUAAAUUAAAAUAUCACUUGUCAUUUUAUACUUACGUAAUACUGAAAAUAAAAAUAUCACAUAACCAUGCUAUCAUGUCAUAUCAUCUUUUAUUAUAUUAUAUUAACAUGUUAUGUUAACUUUAUUUGACAUAAAUGAUAAAUAAUAUUUUGACGAAUAAUAAUUAAUUAACUAUUAGUUAUAAAGAUUUAUUUACCUUUAAAUAAAAAUACAAAAAUUUAAUAAAUAUAAUAAAAUGAUGAAAAUUUAUUCGAAUUUUCUUAAAUAGUUCUAAAAGUUUUUAAAGUAUUAUGUCAUACUUUUAUUAUUAUUUUUUUAAACAUCUCAUAACAAGUAUUAAAAUAAUAAUUUUCAGUUAUUACAAAAAAAUAAAUUAAUUGGUUAGCAAUCGAACAUCUGAUUAAGUAUGGUCAAUUUCCGUUAACGUUCCAAUCCGAGGGUCAGUCGAUUCCAGUUGCUCCCACAUGAUCUUUGCUAGGUUAGUUUCGGAGCACUGCUCCCAACCGAAACCGACCGAUGCUCCCUCAGCUCCAUGCGAUUCUCGUCCUAUAAGCCAAAAUCCAGGUGAAUAACUAAAAGAAAAAAAAUGGUAACAUGAAUCAGUUUCUUCUCCAAGUCAGAAAAAGAUAUCCAAAAUACCCAUUUAAUUAUUCUAUGAACCUAACAAGAACAAUGCAGUAAUAAAUAAAAAUGCAAGUAAAAUUUUAAUCUGCUUUGACCUUGAAGAGCUCAAGCAGCAAGCAGAUAAAGUUGUUUGCAACCAUGGAAAGGCCUUAUGCUUCUCUAACUCCCAUAAACUGAGUAGACAAACCUGGGUUCAAAUAAGUGAAUAACCCAUCCUUACCACAUUGACUAUUUGUUGUACUCACCAUUCUAAAUGCCUGGAGGAAAUAGGAUAGACAGGCCUAUUUGUGACAUAAUAUCCCAAUAGACAUCAGAAAGAAGGGCCUAGGCAUGCACAUUGGCCAACACAGAGGUAAUUAACAUAAUAUCCACGCAGCAAACGAAACUAGCAUCUAAUAAUAAUCAACAAUAAUUACCAACACAAAGCCAAUUAGCCUACCAGAAUCCCAUUUUCUUCCAGUCGAAUAAUCCUCAAGGCAUUGCCAGACUACAGUCCGCAUGUAGGGUAACUCUUCUUUUUAAUUUUUGAUAUUUUGGACUAUCAUCAGCAAGGCACAUGGAAGCAGCUGCCAAUCACUUAAAGCAAUUCCAUACAACUUGCUAAAUGUUGACAACCACCAAAUUAGCAGAAACAGCAAUACAUGUUGGGUCAAUCAUGUGUUUGACAGAAAAAGCAGGCUACUAAUAAUGCAUUUCAACAGCCUAACAGCCUAACAUGAUAAGCAACAGCUCUUCAGUUGGCAUAUGCCUCAUAGCACAUACAUAUUGCUAACAGGACACAUUAUAUGAAUGCAGCUUUAACAAACCCGCACAUGCUGGACACAGGCUAGACAUCUGCUAGUUUCAAAAGAAUUUCUGGGCAAUCAACAGAGCACAUAAAUACUGAAACCAUGCUUCAACAAAGACAAGAAUCUGACUAUGAAGGGCUGAGCCUAUUUACGUUUAUAUUUAAAUCAUUAUUCUUACUAGCAUAUCCACUCUCAUCAAACUUGUUUCCAUGCAAUUUCCAUAAAUCAUAGUCAAACUAAUUAGAGUGGCAGGCAUGAGAUAUACCAAUAAGAACAUGACAGAGAGACUGCAGAGGCACAUGCCAUAAAUAUAACUAAGGAUAACAUUCUAUGAUACAUACCAGCACUAUAAAACCAAGUCUAGCCACUUAAGUUUCCUAAUUUCUUAAAUUUUGCAGCCAGUCAAGAAAUUUUGUCAUAACCCCCUUUGUUGCUCAGAUCUGUGCAAUGUUGGGGCAUUUCACGAAAGGCAAGAAGAGUGCCUCAAGGUCCUCAACAGAAUGGUCCAUCUUAUAAUAUAUUAAAACUCAAAAGUAUCCCAGGCAUUAAGCUAGUAUUAGAAAAGUAGAAAGCUGCAAUGGUAAAAGCAAAUAAAAAAAUGAAAAAUGAUGUUUCCUUAAUGGAGUUAGAAAUAACUAAAUACCAUCAAAUAAGGGGAACCUGAAUCAAUGAUAAAUAACUCAGGAACUAGCUUACUCAAGACACAAAAAAUACACAGCGCUAAGGGAUGUCGAACCUUCCUUGUUGCUAGAUGAUAUACAGAUACAGAGAUUCAUAGCUACAGGAAGGAAGGGCUUUGUAAACAAUCCAUGCUCGUUGACAACAAUGUUUCUCAUCCUAUCAUCCUCUGCAUGAUGAAUAAACGAACAUCUAAAUAUGAAUUGCUCUAGAUGAUAACAAGGGUUAAGAAAAGGCAGAGAAAGUUGAACUUGGCAGAGAAAGUUGAACUUGAGGCAAAGGGCUUGUUUGAAGGAUGAAAGUAAAUUUUCUAAACAGAAUUUAAAGCAGCUUUAUAAACUUACAAGAGAAGGACAAUGACAAAGAUCAUAAUAUAUAUUAAAAUUGCACAGAUUGUAUGAAAUCCUCAACCAGAAACUCAAUGUGCUAAACCUUGUAUUUGCAUACUCAAUGCAUUAAUAACAGACUAAAAGCGUCAGGUAAACAGUAUUCUUUAUAUGACACCUCUUCAAAUGAUUAACAAACCAUUACUUAGGUCCUGAAUUUCCCUUCAUGUAAUAUCAGAAGAAAAAAAAUGAUCUCUGAAGAAAAGUCACCAAGCUAGGAAAAGGCAAAUUACCUAACAAAUAAACAUUGAAGCCGAUUUCAGGUGAGAUCCAUUUCUUCAAAUGGCAACUCCCAAACAAUAUUUAUUCCUUGAGAAGAGAUAACCUAGAUAAUGGAUCUUACCUCACACAUUGAAGAAAUCAUAGAGCAGCUAUUCCUAUACAGAGAAACCUUAAAUUUAGAUCAAAUUUCAUUACCAUCCAGAAGUCUGAAACUAGAACAGAAAUGUUAAAAAGAAAGAACUUGAUGGUGAAAAGAUUACUUUUAAACUCAGUCCGAAUGAAGAGAGAGAGAGAGAGAGAGAUUAACAGAAGAGGGCGAGGGGGGGGGGGGGGGGUGGAGAGGGACAAUAUAGGAAGUAAUCUAAUUCCACACCAUAUGAUUGAUACAAAAACAGGGCAUUUAAGAAAAAAAAAUGAUAACAUUUAAACACUUACUAGAAAUGGACGUCUACCAUUAAAUAGCCUAAAAAGUAAUGCAUUAUUUUAAGUUUGUGCAGUAACAUUUCAGAAGCUGCUCCUAGAUGGUGAUGGUGUAAAUGUUGUGUACAUUCAUGAUUAGAAAUAUAAACAUCAAGAUAAUGUUCCAUCAUUUUCCCAAUUUGCUAUCACAUAAUAUAUGAACAUAAAUAUGCCACUUGACACUUGACAGAUACAUGAAACAUAAUAUUUCAUAGUGCUGUAACAGCAAGAACAAAGAGAACAAUAAGCAUAAGAAAAUAUUCAUAAAUUACGAAAAUUGUUGCCAACAGUUUACAUUGAAGUGUGGGUAUGAGGCACACUUUUACAGACAAACAAAGAGUUAUCCAAAUCUUUUUUGUUAUUAUUACUUUUCAUUUUCAAUUACUCUGUCCAUUCUCAACACCUAAACCAUACAACACACCAGAAUACUUUUCCAAAGAGCCACUAAAGAAAUUCUCUUUCAAUUUCCUGAAUGUACAAGAUGUGAGCAAACUAUCCGAACCUGCUUGAUGACAAAUCCCAACUCUUUCUACUUCCAACAACUCUGCAAGCUUGUUCAAUCCACCGUACAGACUGUUGCUAAACUUCAUCAAAUGCUUGAUAUCAUAAAGGGUAGGAAAGUAAAUAUUGAUCAAACUAAAGAACCCAGCUUGUGUAUCCGGCAAAUUCUGACAAGUCAAGAGCUUAAGCAAGUACCCGAAAUCAUAACCACUAUGGAAAGUAACCCAAUGCACACUGUCAUUCAAAACGAUCCCAGAAGACAUCAAAAGCUCACCAAACCUCAUUGCAUCAAUACCCUUCUCAUUGUUUUUCUUGAAAUCAAUCCCACUUUGCCUCAAAAGCUCAAUAGAAUCAUUAGCAAACACAUCCUCAUUGACAUUAAACUCGCAGAAAUUGAAUUGCCAAAUGCAAUACUUGUCAGUUCCACAUGUAGGCAAGUUUCCUUCCUCGUCGGAAAACGUAAGACCCAAUUGAAUCAACUUUAACAUAUCGACAUUGUCUUUCAAAGUUUGGUAGUGAUAAUCAUAGCUGUUCUUGAAAUUGCCCAACGGACGCAACACAACGCCUGGAAACUCGGUGUCCAUGGCAACGUAGGGGUAGUCAUCAACUAUUUCACGAAUCAAAGCGAAUUCUUCCUCAAGGUUAUCGUUCCAGACCUCACGGAUUUGGAUUGAAUCGCCCUUCGGCAGCAAAGACAUCACUUGAAAAACCAAAAAAAAAAAAAAACCUAAUUUCUUUUUCAACCAAUAACAACCCAAGAAAAAGAUUCCUAGAUUACCACGAAAACCCCAAACAAGGAAUCAAUUUGCAAAACACCCAGAUUGAAUUUCACCAGAUCUGCAAGAAAUUACAAUAAAUUUAAGGCUAUAAAUCCUCCAAACCAAAUAAACGCCAGCUUCACCCAGAAAUGAAUUUCCAAGAACUAAACGAUAAAUUAAAUAAAUGAUUAUAUAGAUGAAGAAAUGAAGAAGGAACUUACCUUAAAGAAGUGGAAAAAUGGAUGGUUUUUUUGAGAGAAAUAAAUAAACAAGGCAGAUUCUAGAGAGAGAAAGAUCAAGAAAAUUUCUGAAAGGUACUUCCUUUCUCUCUGUAGGGUUUCCUGUUUGCAGUAUGAUUGGAGGCCCUAAAAUGGGUUUUUCCUUUUUCUUAAGAACUGGUCGUUGACUUGUCGUGGUUACUGCUUUAUGGUUUCUUCCUUUUUAUCUGUUUUGUUUGUUUCUCGGGAAAAAGAGAGGUUUCACUGUUCUGUUUCUCCAACGAGUUUAUAUCCGAUACAGUAACACUGUAUAACUUGUAUAUACAUUAUAGAAGUAAUUUUAAAAUUUUUAAUAUCAAUAAAAUUUCGUAUCACAUGAUACCUCUUCUUCUUUAUGUAACUUCAAUUAAAACAUCUAAUUUAGGUCAUAAUUUACAUGAGAUUUCCAAAAUUAUUAAUUAAAGAUAGGUCAUGAAAUAUAAAAGAAUUACAUAAGGUUGUGCAAAAAUGAAAUAUGAACUCAAAACUCAACACUGCUAUUAUCAGAAUUGCAAAUUCAUAUAGUCACCUUAAUAAUCUUGCAAAAUUUAUAACCGGAUAAUUAAAAAAAUAAAAUUUCAUUUCAAAAAACAAUGAAAGAGCUAUUGAAUUAAUUGAGAAAGUGAAUACAAAAGAAAUUCAUAUAUAAAUUGUAGGGCGUAUCCAUAGAAAAUGUUAAAUUGAUCCAAAAAAGUAGAGUUCUUGUACAAUCCAUUGAAGCGAAAAUUAAUAAUCUCUCCCUUAGAGUUUGAAUUAUCUGUGAGCUAUUAGGAAUCCAAAUUUUGACAAUUAUAAUUAAAGAGUUAAUAAAAACUAUACACUAUCAAUAAAAUCAUAUUUAAAAUUAUAUAUAUAUAUAUAUAUAUAUAUAUAUAUAUAUAUAUAAUGGAAAGAGAUGGGAAUGGUAUGGAGUCGAUUGCCUUUCCCUUGCUUACUUCCUUUUGAACACGAAAAGAAAAAUCUAAAAUAAACGUAAAUUUUUCAUAUACGAAUUUAUCAAUAUUUAUUUCAGUUAUUACUCCAAUUCUUUCAAUAUUAUGAUCAAUUCCUUUAUUAAAUUUUCAAAAAAUUUAUCAAUUCAUUUAUUUUUAUUACAUAGUAUGAUCAUGAGUCAACUUUAGUAGGUAUUUCCUUUUUAAAAUUUUUAUUAUUCAAUUAAUAAAAUAAAAUUUUAUGUGUUAAUAUUUUAAAAUUAAUUUAAGAUAAACUUAAAUAAAAUAUAUUAUUUGUUAAAAAAAAUCUAAUCCAUCCGAAUUGAUUUUGGAUUUAAACAAUUAUAUUCCAACUCAACUCGAUGUGCAUCAAAUUUGCAAAUUAUGAUGAAUAACGUGAUCCAUUAAAGAACUUAAAAUUUUAUAUUAAUAAUAACCACUUAUAUUACCAACAAGUUUUACUUAUAUGCAACAUUAAUAUUCUUUAUAUACUUACAUUUAUUAAGAACACAACUUAUAUCCAUAAGUAUUUGGUAGUCACGAUAAAAGAAUUUGAUUGCAAUUUAAUUAUGUAAACUUUUUCACAAUAUCCACGAAAAAAUUAAAUUUGAAAAAAAAGGAGCUUUAAACGAGUGUAAAUUCUAUCUCCUUGCUAAUCAAAAGUUGCUUCACACUUAUAAAAGUUGUUCAUUUUUUCUUACUGAAUCAUGAAAUUUCAUUAAAAGGAACAAAAAAAAAAAUCAUUAUUACAUAAAAAACAUGACCAACAUUAUAAAAAUAAGUAAAAACCAACAAACCGAAAAUAAAGAUAAGAAAGUGGAAACCAGCUCCAACUGGAACUUCACAUGAAAAAGCAUCCUGCGCAUACAAGAAAAAACCAAGUCUGGCCAUGGCAUGUGCAUGAUUGAAUAUCUCUUCUUUUGUGAGAGGAUGAGGACCAUCAUCACUCAUCAUUACAUCAUACAACUAAUAUCAUACAUUAGGUCAAUGGAGCCAUACCAUGACAGAGAAUAGUGACGACAAUUCAGAACAUGUGACAAGAUUUAUGAGUUUAUUUUACUUUUGAAAUGUUCUUGAAAGCUUGACUUAAUAACUAAAACAUGAAGAUAGUUAAAAGAUCAUCCAUUUAUCCUUUCAUUAAAGUAUAUGUGCUUCACCUUUUUCCUUUUUCCCUAAAAAACACUGACACAUUGUUAAGUGCGACUUAACUCCACUGUCUCAUUAAACCAAAACAUCGUUUCACUACCGAGCUCUCAUGCUAUCCCAUGAUAAAUGCGUUAUGACAUAAUGGACGUGUUCUUAUCAUUAACACGUUCUUUCUUUCGAUGAUAUCCAAUAAGCACAUUAUAUAUAUAUAUAUAUAUGAGCUUGGCAAUUAAAGAUGCAAAUCAAAAUUUCACCGAAUUCAUUAAUCUCUCUAAAAGCUCUCCCUCAACUCUUCCCAAAUACUCUCUCUCAACUCUUUCCUAUUCUAUUCUCCUUCAUGCUUCGCCGCCAAGCUUUCACUAUCUUUUCCCUAACUUUUAUCUCUCACCUCCUGCCAUAAAGCACUUGAAACUUCAAGAAUUGCCUUAAUCUUCCUCUCCGUCGCCUCUAGUGCAUCUCACUUUACUUGUUGUAACACUUUCUCUUCCCUUAUCAAAGAAACCCAUACAUCCAAGCAUUAUAAAACCUAGUAUACCUACUUAAGUUUCCUAAUUUCUUAAUUUUGCAGCCAAUCAAGAAAUUUUGUCCUAAACCCCUUUGUUGCCCAGGUCUGUGCAAAGUUCAGGCAUUUCAUGAAAGGCAAGAAGAGUGCCUCAAGGUCCUCAACAGAAUGGAGCAUCUUAGAAUACAUAAAAACUCAAAAAUAUCCCAGGCAUUAAGCUUGUACUAGAAAAGUAGAAAGCUGUAAUGGUAAAAGCACAAAAAAAAAAAAAAAAAAGUAAAAUGGUGAAUGGAGUUAGAAAUAACUAAAAAGCAUCAAAUAAGGGGAACCUGAAUCAAUAAUAAAUAACUCAGCAACUAGCUUACUCAAGACACAAAGAUACACAGCACUCUAACAAGCCAAGGGAAGUAGAACAUUCCUUGUUGCUAGAUAAUAUACAGACACAGAGAUCAAUACAUAGAUACAGAUACAGAGAUUGAUAAAUACAGGGUGGAAGGGCUUUAUAAACAAUCCAUGCUUGUUGACAACAACGUUUCUCAUCCUAUUAUCCUCUGUAUAAUGAAUAAACAAACACCUAAAUAUGAAUUGCUCAAGAUGAUGCCAAGGGUUAAAAAAUGGCAGAGAAAUUUGAAUUUGAGCCUUCAAAAAUCAAGAGUGUGAUAUCAUAUGGUACCUAGGUGCCAACAUGCUUCUGCGUGCAUGUAUCUGUAUACUAUCUAGCAACAGCCUAGUUAAUUACUAAAAGGACAAGCUGGAGUGACAAAACCACCUAUUUAGGCAAUGAGCCUGUUUGGAGGAUGAAAGUAAAUAUUCUAACCACAAUUUAAAGCAGCUUUAUAAAAUUACAAGAGAAGGAAAAUGUCAAAGAUCAUAAUAUAAGUUAAACAUGCAUAGAUUGUAUGAAAUCCCCAACCAGAAACUAGAUGUGCCAAACCUUGUAUUUGCAUACUCAAUGCAUUAAUAAGAGACAAAAAGAGUGAGGUAAACAGUAUUCUUUAUAAGACGCCUCUUCUAAUGAUGAAUAACCAUUGCUAAGGUCCUGAAUUUUCCCUCAUGUCACAUCAGAAAAAAAAAAUGAUCUCUGAAGAAAACUCACCAACCUAGGAAAAAAAAAUGAUCUCUGAAGAAAACUCACCAACCUAGGAAAAGGCAAAUUACCUAACAGAUAAGGAUUGAGGCAGAUUUCAGGUGAGAUCCAUUUUCCCAAACAGCAACGUCCAAACAAUAUUUAUUCCUUGAGAAGAGAUAACCUAGAUAAUGGAUCUUACCUCGUAUAUUGAAGAAAUCAUAGAGCAGUAAUUCCUAUGCAGAGAGACCUUAAAUUUAGAUCAAGCUUUCAUUACCAUCCAGAAGUCUGAAACUAGAAUAGCAACGAUAAAAAGAAAGAACUUGACAGUGAAAGUUUACUUUUAAACUCAGUCAGAAUGAAGAGAUAUUUAAUAAAUUUUGGUAACUGUGAUCGAUAAGUACCCAUAUUUUUGCUUCUCAAUCUGAUAUUAACAGAAAAAACCUAGGGCCCCUGCUGCAUUACCUGAAAAAUAAAGAAAAUAUCAAGAUUCCUUAGGAUGAAGUAAGCCUUCAAAAUAAUUGUUCAAUGAAUUGUGGAUUAAGAUUUAUGUGCAGUGAUUAUACCAAAACGUAUCAUGAAAUAAUUUAAAAGGUGAAUUUCGCAUUCAUUGUCACUCAAAUCUUUGUGGACAGAGCUGUAUAUGAAAAUAUAAAAAAUUACCUAAAAAGAACGAGAAUUGAUGGAAAAUGCGGCAUUCGAGGGGAUAUAUGAUAUAUUUAGGCAAUAAGCUUCAACAGGCAAGUUCUAAAAAUUGUUGCAAUGGGAGAAUUGACACUAACAGAAAGUGGAAUGACGAAGAAGAGAGGUUGCUAGGCAAGAAGUACUGCCUUAUAGACCCAACUUGUACAAAGGAAUAAUCAGCAAUGCAGUAGAAAAUAGAGAACAUUCAACCAUUAAUUAGUUUUACCUUUAAGAUAAUAAGAGUAAGAUUUGGUACAACAGACACAAGGCCCGUCGGAUGUCAGUCAUUAUUCUUGAUCACCAGUCACAACCACUAAAUAAAAGGGUUAAACGUGCACGAGAGAGAGAGAUGGACAGAGAAGAGUGGGGUGAGGGAAACAAUAUAGGAAGUAAUCUAAUUCUAGAAAAUAUGAUAGAUACAAAAGCAAGGCAUUCAAGAAAAGGAUGAUAACAUUCUAAUACUUAAUAGAAAUGGAUGUCUACCAUUAAAUACCCUAAAAGAUGCACUAUUUUAGGAUUGUGCAGUGACAUUUCAGAAGCAAUGGUGGUGGUGUAAAUAUUGUGUUCAUUCAUAGUUAGAAAUAUAACCAUCAAGAUUAUGCUCCAUCAUUUUUCCAAUUUGCUAUCACAUAAUAUAUGAACAUAAAUGCACCACUUGAUACUUGACAGAUACAUGAAACAUAAAAAUUUAUAAUGCAGCAACAGAAAGAACAAAGAGAACAAUAAGCCUAAGAAAAUAUACAUAAAUUACGAAAAUUGUUGCCAACAGUGUACAUUGAAGUGUGGGUAGGAGGCACACUCGUACAGACAAACAAACAGUUGUCCAAAUCUUUUUUUGUUUUUAUUACUUUUCAUUUUCAAUAAGUACUCUGUCCAUUCUCAAUACCUAAACCGUACAACACACCGGAAUACUUUUCCAAAGAGCCACUAAAGAAAUUCUCUUUCAAUUUCCUGAAUGUACAAGAUGUGAGCAAACUGUCUGAACCCGCUUGAUGACAAAUCCCAACUCUUUCUACUUCCAACAACUCUGCAAGCUUGUUCAAUCCACCGUGCAGACUGUUGCAAAACUUCAUCAAAUGCUUGAUAUCAUAAAGGGUAGGAAAGUAAAUAUUGAUCAAACUAAAGAACUCAACUUGUGUAUCUGGCAAAUUCUGGCAAGUCAAGAGCUUAAGCAAGUACCCAAAAUCAUAGCCACUAUGGAAAGUAACCCAAUGCACACUAUCAUUCAAAACAAUCCCUGAAGACAUCAAAAGCUCACCAAACCUCAUUGCAUCAAUGCCCUUCUCAUUGUUUUUCUUGAAAUCAAUUCCACUUUGCCUCAAAAGCUCAAUGGAAUCAUUAGCAAACACAUCCUCAUUGACAUUAAACUCGCAGAAAUUGAAUUGCCAAAUGCAAUACUUAUCAGUUCCACAAGUAGGCAAGUUUCCUUGGUCGUCGGAAAGCGUAAGACCCAAUUGAAUCAACUUUAACAUAUCGACAUUGUCUUUCAAAGUUUGGUAGUGGAAGUCAUAGCUGUUCUUGAAAUUGCCCACGGGGCGCAACACAAUGCCUGGAAACUCGGUGUCCAUGGCAACGAAGGGGUAGUCAUCAACUAUUUCACGAAUCAAAGCGAAUUCUUCCUCAAGGUUAUCGUUCCAGACCUCACGGAUUUGGAUUGAAUCGCUCUUUGGCAACAAAGACAUCACUUGAAAAACCAAAAACAAAAAAAAAACUAAUUUCUUUUUCAACCAAUAACAACCCAAGAAGACAAAGAUUCCUAGAUUACCACGAA
rnacentral:lncRNA from 1 species